CUGGCUAGCAGUAAAGCUGAGAUCUCGUCGCCUGGCAGAUUGCGGAGGAAGGAGGAAGGCUGCUGAGGAUGAGUGUGCAUCACAUCACAUCACAUAACAUCACAUAACAUAACAGGAAUAUCAUAGCUACAGCUCCAGACAGUGUUAGGGUUAGUGUUAGGGUUGCUUCCACCUCCAGGUUUGGUUAUUGACUCGGAUAAGGAGUGAUCCACAGCCCCCCAGAGAGGCAGGAUGGGGAACCGGGGAAUGGAGGAUCUGAUCCCGCUGGUCAACCGGAUGCAGGACGCGUUUGCGGCCAUCGGGCAGAAUGCGAACCUGGACCUGCCUCAGAUCGCAGUGGUGGGCGGCCAGAGCGCCGGGAAGAGCUCCGUGCUGGAGAACUUCGUCGGGAAGGACUUCCUUCCCCGCGGUUCUGGCAUCGUCACACGCCGUCCUCUGGUCCUACAGCUCAUCAACUCCCCCACAGAGUAUGCGGAGUUUUUGCACUGUAAGGGGAAGAAGUUUACAGACUUUGAUGAAGUGCGGCAGGAGAUCGAGGCAGAGACGGAUCGUGUCACUGGCCAGAAUAAAGGCAUUUCUCCAGUCCCUAUUAACCUGCGUGUCUACUCCCCUAAUGUACUGAACCUGACUCUGGUGGAUUUGCCGGGAAUGACCAAAGUGGCGGUCGGCGACCAGCCAGUGGACAUCGAGCACCAAAUCAAGGACAUGCUUAUGCAGUUUGUUACGAAGGAGAACUGCCUGCUGCUGGCUGUAUCUCCUGCAAACUCCGACCUCGCCAACUCCGAUGCUCUGAAGGUUGCCAAAGAAGUGGAUCCGCAAGGUCUGCGCACCAUCGGUGUGAUCACCAAACUGGAUCUGAUGGAUGAAGGAACAGACGCUCGAGAUAUUCUGGAAAACAAGCUGUUACCACUGCGCCGAGGCUACAUCGGUGUGGUGAACCGCAGUCAGAAAGACAUUGAUGGGAAGAAGGACAUCGCUGCUGCUAUGGCUGCUGAGAGGAAGUUCUUCCUGUCGCAUCCUGCAUACAGACACCUGGCAGACCGUAUGGGAACACCUUAUCUGCAGAAAGUGCUCAACCAGCAACUAACCAAUCAUAUCCGAGACACAUUGCCCGGACUGCGCAGUAAGCUCCAGAGCCAGCUGCUGUCCAUCGAGAAAGAGGUGGAGGAGUACAAGAACUUCCGCCCAGACGACCCGUCUCGCAAAACCAAGGCCUUGUUACAGAUGGUGCAGCAGUUCUCUGUGGAUUUUGAGAAGCGUAUCGAGGGCUCAGGUGAUCAGAUCGAGACCUAUGAGCUCUCAGGCGGAGCGAGGAUCAACCGCAUCUUCCACGAACGCUUCCCUUUUGAACUGGUCAAGAUGGAGUUUGAUGAAAAGGAGCUGCGCAAGGAGAUCAGCUACGCCAUCAAGAACAUUCACGGCAUCAGAACUGGGCUCUUCACCCCGGACAUGGCCUUUGAGACCAUUGUGAAAAGGCAGAUCGCGAAGAUUAAAGAGCCUUGCCAGAAAUGCGUGGACAUGGUCAUUUCUGAGCUAGUCAAUACCGUUAGGCAGUGUACCAAGAAGCUGGCCCAGUACCCCAUGCUGCGAGAGGAAAUGGAAAGAAUUGUCACUCAGCACAUCCGUGAUCGUGAGAGUCGCACCAAGGAUCAGGUGAUGCUGCUUAUUGACAUCGAGCUGGCUUACAUGAACACCAACCAUGAAGAUUUCAUCGGAUUUGCCAAUGCGCAGCAGAGAAGCAGCCAAAUGAGCAAGAAAAAGGCAGCUGGCAAUCAGGAUGAGAUCAUGGUCAUCAGGAAGGGCUGGCUGACAAUCAACAACAUCGGCAUCAUGAAAGGUGGCGCUAAGGAGUACUGGUUCGUGUUGACGGCCGAAUCGCUCUCCUGGUACAAGGAUGAUGAGGAGAAAGAGAAGAAGUACAUGCUGCAGGUGGACAACCUGAAGCUGAGAGAUGUGGAGAAGAGUUUUAUGUCCAGCAAGCACAUCUUCGCCCUGUUCAACACUGAGCAGAGGAACGUGUAUAAAGACUAUCGUCAGCUGGAGUUGGCCUGUGAGAGUCAGGAGGAAGUGGACGGCUGGAAGGCCUCGUUCCUCAGAGCUGGUGUUUAUCCAGAGCGUGUGGUGGAAAAGGACAAGAGUGAUGCGAGUGAGGAGAACGGUUCGGAUGGCUUCAUGCACUCCAUGGACCCCCAGCUGGAGAGGCAGGUGGAGACCAUCCGCAACCUGGUGGACUCCUACAUGGGCAUCGUCAACAAGACCAUCCGUGAUCUCAUGCCCAAGACCAUCAUGCACCUCAUGAUCAACAACACGAAGGAGUUCAUUAAUGCAGAGUUGUUGGCUCAGCUUUAUUCCUGCGGUGAUCAGAACACUUUGAUGGAGGAGUCGGCCGAGCAGGCUCAGCAUCGGGACGAGAUGCUGCGCAUGUAUCACGCGCUCAGAGAAGCCCUCAGCAUCAUUGGAGACAUCAGCACCAGCACGGUGUCCACAGCUCUGCCUCCACCCGUCGACGACUCGUGGCUACAGGUGCAGCGCAUUGGCUCUGGGGGAAGGUCUCCAGCUACCAGUCCCACCCCUCAGAGACGAGCUCCUCCUCCAGGACCACCAGGCCGCCCUGGUUCUCGUGGCUCCGCCCCAGGCCCUCCUGCUGCUGGUGGGCCUCCUUUGCCAUCUCGCCCCGGGGUGUCUCCGGACCCAUUUGGAGGCCCGCCCCCUCAGGUGCCCUCCCGGCCUAACCGGGCCCCGCCCAGUGUGCCCAGCCGAGGAGUGUGAGACACCUCUGAGCGGAGAAGUGUGGAAUUACAAUCAGUGACCAGUGAGGACCAGCGCGUCUGCCGACGACCCCCGGCCUCACCCACCCGACCCAUGUGAUCCACAGACUCCUCCCUCUAGACUAUUAGCUCCUCCCAGCACACCUAAGGAGACAGACAUCCAGGCCACCCAAAUCCCCUUCAACCUCUUCUCCUACAGAUUCAGUCCGGCAGGAACACACACACAUACCACACACACACACGCACACACACACACUACACUGGGUUUUACCUCCAUUUUAUGUGGUUUCCUUUCUACUCAUUAUUUUACUCUCUCUACAUUUCUUCCUCCUUCAUGAUUUUCUAACGAUCCCUGACUUCUGUUGUGAUUUUUUUUUUCUUUCUGCUGAAUGAAAGUUCUUUUCUGAAGCAGAUGCAUUAUCACUCCAAGGUGAUGACUGGAGUAAUGAGUAUAACUGCAUCUAUUUGUGGAGUGCGCUUUUAUACACAUUCGUUUCCGCUACGUUAUUCGUCUUUAUUUGUUUUUUGUCCUUCUGUUUCUCGAGCAGUGCUCCUUGAAGUCACAGGCGGGAAGAUGACACCCCACUAACCUGAAGGGUAAUAAACUUUACGAUGGUUCUGAUUUGAUGCCCAGAUUUUAAACACGCACAUUUUGCUCCAAAUGGUUACAUUCAAUUGACACUUUAAAUACAAUCCGAGGCUCUUGCCUUCCAGCCUUGCUGACUUUGGGGACGCCAUUUUACUUGCAUUUGCUUUAAUAUUUCUUUCAAUAUUCACUCUUCUUUCUCUCUUUUUCCCCCUCGUGUUGCUCAGCCGACCAAGCAGGGGCAGCCCUUCAAGCCCCGAGAGCCCUCUUCCUUCAUCUGACUCCUAACUGGCCCAUCCUUUUUUCCUCCGCUCUUCUCUUCCUCUACUCUGACUUCUUUUACUUCAUUUUAUCUUGUAUUGUACUUUUUUCCUCUUUCUUAUCUUUCUCUCUGUCUCCUCUUUACUUUCCCGUAUGCUCUCUUUUCCGUUACGCACUCUCUUUUCUACUUUCCUUUUUGCUUGAUUUUAUCUCCUUCCUUCCUGCCCUUUCUUUCCCAUUUAUUCUUUUUUAGCUUCUCCUUUUCUAUGUUCUCUUCCUUUUCUUCCUUCUACUCUUUUACUCCAUCCUCUCCCUUCUGUCUCUUCUUCCUUGUCUCUUUCUCCUUCUUCUUUUUGCCUUUUCUGGUUCAUUAUUUCUCUCUCUCUCCCCCUUGUUUCCCUUCUUUUUCUCUUUUCUCCCUCAUUUUCUCUCCUUCUUUCACUUUAUGUUCUUUACUUUCCUUUUUACUUUCUCUUCUCUCCUUUUCUUUGUAUUCUCUUCUUCCUUCCCUUUCUUGUCCCCUUUUCUUUUUUUCAUCCUCCUCUUCUACUUCUUCUUCACUUGUCUUCUACUUUCUCUCCCACCUUUAUUUUUCUCUUCUUACUUAUCUUUUCCAUUCUACUUUCUCUUUUCUCCAAUUUUUACAUUGUCUUUCUCUUUCUUUUUUUCUUUUCCCUUUCAUUUUCUCUCCUUCCUUCACUUUUAUUCUCAUUACUUCUUCCUUCCCUCUCUCUUCCCCUUCUGUCUUCUUCUUUGUACUUCCUCUUGUACUUCCUUAUCUCUUCUUCCUCUUCCUCAUCCUCUCAAACUCCCUCCAUGUUCACCAUCAAGCAAACCUAAAUCAAACCCCACCAGCACAACUGAACUCACACACAUGACACAGUGAGGGAGAGGCGGAGAGAAAAACAGAUGGAAACCCCUUCAGAUGUAACUUGCUUCAUUAAAGGACACCUGCUUCAUUAAAGGACAGAUGCUCUUCUAUGUUCUACAUGAAGUGGAGGAGCAGUGACACCACCAAUGUGCUGUGAGAGAUGUGUAGUGUUUUUUGUUGUCGUUGGCGUCUCUUUGCUUUUUGCUGGAUUUUCUCCAAAACCAACUGGACUAACGUGAUGGCCAUGAACACUGUCUCGAUGUUUAACCUGUAGUGUAAUGCACACGAACGCUGUAGCCACGGUUCCCUGAAUUUCUGAAUUUCACAUCAUGUCUACGUCCUCACAUUAGUACUGAAACUGGAUCCUGUAUGUGUUUACCCUCGUGACAUUUCUCUAAGAUUUAAUUUUUCCACGUAGUGAGUACAGUAAAAACAGAGGCGGGAUCUAUAUGGAAAGUGCAAUAUGUCUACAGAUCGGUUACCAUUCACACCACUUAACACGCGGUAGACCUGAACUUCAAGAAGAUAAACGUACUCGAAAUAUGCGAAAUCUGUUUAAACUUGUGCACGACAUCAGCUUAUUCUCUGUGAGGGGAAAAAAGGAUUGUAUCAUUACUAGCAUCUCUACAGGUGCUUAACUUAGUCGUUUAUGCAAACGUAUCAUCUUAAUUGUGAUUUUAUGUGUUUGAUUUAUUGUCAGUUUAGAAAAUCAGGUUAUAAGGAAUAAUAAUUGAAAGAAAAAUCAAAUGUACAAUAUAGUUGAUCAGCCAUGACAUCUUUGGCAUCAGAAGUUUGCUUUUUUAGCUUUGCUAAAAACUAAGCCACAAGACUAGUGUAAACUUUAAAAAAAAAAUUAAAAAUGCAUCAAAUACGCAGUCACUUCAAUGUAUUCUUGCACUGGUUUUGUAAAUAUGCCAUGCAAAUAUCUGUUCUGAUGAACAAAUUAUUAUACACGUCUUACUAUUUUAUAUAUGAUCACACAAAGUUCAUUAAUCCAACAAGAUUUUUAUUCAUACGCUCUCAGGAUGUUGGAACGUCAUAAAAUCUGGAUUUUAACAGCUUUAGUUUGGCUGCAGCAUGAAAUACGUUUAGAUUUUGGACACACACUGUAGAAUAUAAUAAGAAUAUCAUGUUUAGUAAUAGUAAUUGAGCAAAAAAAGAAAAAGCCAUACUGAUUAAUAUCUGUUCUGAAAUCUGAUUGGCCGAGCCACAUUUGAAGUAGUAGUAAAAUCCUCAUUAUACGCAAACCAGUGACCGCACCAUAAUAAUUAAAUUCUGUAUUAAAAUUUAAUUAUUAAAUUCUAUAUGCUCUAGGUUUAACCCAGUAAAACCACUGCAGCCCUUGUACUGUCCAUAUAAUGCCCAAAUCUAUGUCUGUUAUGUUGCUUAGCAACUGAAGCUUACUAUUAACAGACUAAAUUAUGUGGCAGAAGAAUUAUUAUUUUUUUAAUUUAUUUAUUUUAUUAUGAAUAUUAUUAAGAAUAAAUUUUAUUAUUUAUUUUAUUUAUUGAAUACUUUUGUUUUUAUAAAAGCAAUAUUGUUUUUAUAAGAGCAAUCAUGUCCUGCCUAAGAACACCGUUACUCCUGAUAAAGACAAAAAACAACAACAACAACCAAAAAAAACCACGGCUCAUUGCUUUAUUAAUGGUUUUUGGUUUGUCCUUGAGGGGGAACCAUAGAAGGUCCCUUGUAAAACCUGCAGCAGAGGUUUACGUAUCAGAGAGUGUUCAUAGCUCCGAGUACAACCUCUUUAAGAAGCUAACUGUCUUAGGAGCGUUUUUUUUUUGUUUUGUUUUGUUUUUUCAAAGAUAGCAGCUAACAAGUAAUGAACAUUUGUCUAGGGGCAGCCAUCCUGAACAAGAAUACUCUUUGUCUUUAGCCCAGUUUGGUGUCAUUCCACUCCCUAGGCUGACCAGAAUGGGCCAGAUGAAACAUAUUUUCACUUCAAACAUAAAAUGAGAAUUAAUGGGAAAGAGUUUAAGUUCCAAAAAACUUGCUUCAUUGCAUGAAGUAAAGAAGCAAACUUCAGACACCAAACACGUUUUGGAGGAAGUGGAAAAAUGUGUUCAUUUGAUUUUCAAUGAUUAUUCCUUUAGCAAACAGAAAUAGCUGUUCUAUGCAUUGAGAUCUUAUGCUGCCUUCAAGUCCUGUCGGUAAUAUCAUAAUCAUCAGGUAAGCGCACUUGAACGCCACCACAACGUCAUAAUUACAACACGGAAACUUGUAUUUUUCUAUGAGUCCCAACUUUCUGUCCAUUUUUUCCUGACCAAAACCACUUGAACACACACCACAUCGUAAUCACGACCUCCAAACUCGUAUGCACGAACUUCCGAGGAGGACUUGAAGGCAGCAUUAAUCAUUUGUUCUUAAGAAACCAGUCUGAACCCUUCAUCAGUCUUAAGUGUGUGUGUUUUAACAAACCUGUUCAUACCCACCUAUUGCGCAUGUCAACACAACCCUCAAUGUACACAAUGCACCCGGCCAAGGCAAGAUUACAAUAUUAUCUCUGCAUUGUCCUCAUCGCUGGCACUUUUUCACCUUUUCCACAUGUAAUCUCAGAGGUUUUAGUAAUCCCAAAUAUGAGGAAGGAUUAUUUAAGAGUAAAACUGUUUAUCAUGGCCAUAUCUUUGUGUGUUGUGUAUCUCUGUGGUGCAUUAACGGAAAUCGUGCUUCCACUGCUUUAGAGACUAGUUUAGACCUGUAUGAUUACUGAAUAUUAAAUUAUUGUAUUAAAUUAUGUGUGACUUGAGUAACUUAUAAAUGAAUAAUAUAAAAGAAAAAAAAACAGAAAAUACUGCAUUAUUGAGUGGUGAGGGAUGGAGGUAUGGACUUCUUGUUGUCAAGCUGAAACUGUACAUUUUCUCAAACUGUGACAUGUAGCAUGUAGAGACGUUCAGUCGUUGUGCUGAGAGGAAGAAGCGAAUGUGUGAUGUUCUGAUACAUCCUGGUACUUUUACUGUGUAAUGAACGAGUCUGUCUCACAGGACUGUUCUGUUCAAAACAAUAAAAUUCAGUGUACACA